rnacentral:rRNA from 1 species
AUUGAACGCUGGCGGCAGGCCUAACACAUGCAAGUCGAGCGGAGCGUCGGACGGGAGAGUAAUGCCUAGGAAUCUGCCUGGUAGUGGGGGAUAACGUCCGGAAACGGGCGUUAAUCCCGCAUACUAUCAGAUGAGCCUAGUUCGGAUUGGCUAGUUGGUGGGGUAAAGGCCUACCAAGGCGACGAUCCGUAAGUGGUAUGAGAGGCUGAUGAGUCACACUGGAACUGAGAAACAGUCCAGACACCUACGGGAGGAAGCGGAGGGGAAUAGUGGACAAGGGGCGAAAGCCUUAGCCAGCCAUGCCGCGUGUGUGAAGAAGGUCUUCGGAUUGUAAAGCACGUUAAGUUGGGAGGCGUUACCAACAUAAUAAGCACCGGCUAACUUCGUGCCAGCAGCCGCGGUAAUAC